rnacentral:rRNA from 1 species
UGCCCAAGACUCCUACGGGAGGCAGCAGUGGGGAAUAUUGGGCAAUGGGCGCAAGCCUGACCCAGCAACGCCGCGUGAAGGAAGAAGGCUUUCGGGUUGUAAACUUCCUUUGUCAGGGACGAAGCAAGUGACGGUACCUGACGAAUAAGCCACGGCUAACUACGUGCCAGCAGCCGCGGUAAUACGUAGGCGGCAAGCGUUAUCCGGAUUUACUGGGUGUAAAGGGCGUGUAGGCGGGGAAGCAAGUCAGAUGUGAAAACCACGGGCUCAACCUGUGGCCUGCAUUUGAAACUGUUUUUCUUGAGUGCUGGAGAGGCAAUCGGAAUUCCGGGUGUAGCGGUGAAAUGCGUAGAUAUAAGGAAGAACACCAGUGGCGAAGGCGGAUUACUGGACGAUAACUGACGGUGAGGCGCGAAAGCGUGGGGAGCAAACAGGAUUAGAUACCCUUGUAC